rnacentral:rRNA from 1 species
GAUGAACGCUAGCUACAGGCUUAACACAUGCGAGUCGCGGGGCAGCAUGGGGGUUGCUUGCAAUCCCCGAUGGCGACCGGCGCACGGGUGAGUAACGCGUAUUCAACCUGCCCUUCACCACGGGAUAACCCGGCGAAAGUCGGACUAAUACCGUAUGUUGUCCAUUGACGGCAUCCGAUUUGGACGAAAGGCUUGGCGGUGAGGGAUGGGGAUGCGUCCGAUUAGCCAGACGGCGGGGUAACGGCCCACCGUGGCUACGAUCGGUAGGGGUUCUGAGAGGAAGGUCCCCCACACUGGAACUGCGACACGGUCCAGACUCCUACGGGAGGCAGCAGUGAGGAAUAUUGGUCAAUGGGCGUAAGCCUGAACCAGCCAAGUAGCGUGCAGGAUGACGGCCCUAUGGGUUGUAAACUGCUUUUAUGCGGGGAUAAAGUGGCCCACGUGUGGGCUUUUGCAGGUACCGCAUGAAUAAGGACCGGCUAAUUCCGUG